rnacentral:rRNA from 1 species
GACGAACGCUGGCGGCGUGCUUAACACAUGCAAGUCGUACGGUAAGGUCCUUUCGGGGGUCCUCGGGUGGCAGACGGGGGAGUAACACGUACAUAACGUGCCCACAACUUUGGGAUAAGGCUAGGAAAGUGAAGCUAAUACUAGAAAUGGGCUACUGCUUCAUGGGGGGGGUUGGAAAGCUCCGGCGGGUGUUGCUGGACUCGCGGCCUAUCUGCUUGUUGGGGGGGUAGUGGGCUACCAAGGCGGCGACGGGUAGCCGGCCUGAGUGGGUGACCGGCGACAUUGGGACUGAGAGACGGCCCAGGCUCCGACGGGAGGCAGCAGGGGGGAAGAUUGAACGAGGGGCGCAAGCCUGAUGCAGCAGCGCUGCGGGCGGGAUGACGGUGUUAGGGUUGAAAACCGAAUUCAGCAGGGACGAAGCUUUUUGUGACGGUACCUGCAGAAGAAGCACCGGCUAACUACGUG